GACGAACGCUGGCGGCGUGCCUAAUACAUGCAAGUCGAACGCAGUGGGGACGGGUGAGUAACACGUGGGUAACCUCCCAUCAGAGGGGAUAACACUUGGAAACUGGUGCUAAACCGAUACUGAUGGAUGGACCCGCGGUGCAUAAGCAAGUCGGUGAGGUAACGGCUUACCAAGGCCACGAUGCAUAGCGGACCUGGGAGGGUGAUCGGCCACACGGGGACUGAGACACGGCCCAGACUCCUACGAGAGGCAGCAGUAGGGAAUCUUCGGCAAUGGGCGAGAGUCUGACCGAGCAACGCCGCGUGAAUGAAGAAGGUUUUCGGAUCGUAAAACUCUGUUGUUAGAGAAGCGGUAUCUAACGAGAAAGCCACGGCUAACUCCGUGCCAGCAGCGGCGGUAAUAC
rnacentral:rRNA from 1 species